GCUUCGGUGGCCUUGUGGUUAGAGCGUCCGCCUCGGCUGCGGGAGGUGGUGGGUUGGAUCCCCAGUCGUGUCAUAGCA